rnacentral:rRNA from 1 species
GAUGAACGCUGGCGGCGUGCCUAAUACAUGCAAGUCGAGCGGCAGCACGGUCUUCGGACUGGUGGCGAGCGGCGGACGGCUGAGUAACGCGUAGGAACAUGCCCUAAAGUGAGGAAUAACUGCCCGAAAGGGUGGCUAAUGCCGCAUGUGCUCUUCGGAGUAAAGCUUUAUGCGCUUUAGGAGUGGCCUGCGUCCGAUUAGCUAGUUGGUGAGGUAAAUGCUCACCAAGGCGACGAUCGGUGGCUGGUCUGAGAGGAUGAUCAGCCAGACUGGAACUGAGAACGGUCCAGACUCCUACGGGAGGCAGCAGUAGGGAAUUUUCCACAAUGGGCGAGAGCCUGAUGGAGCAACGCCGCGUGCAGGAUGAAUGCCUUCGGGUUGUAAACUGCUUUUAUGAGUGAUGAUUAUGACAGUAGCUCAAGAAUAAGGGUCGGCUAACUACGUGCCAGCCGCCGCCGUAA